CUUCCACCAACAAGUUAGAUAGCGAGCGAGAGGGAGAAUUGAAUCGCUGUGGUUAACUACCUGGUCCGCUCAGUGCCAAAGCAGCAUGCAGAGCCCUGUCUUGUAGAGCACAAUGGAUAAAUGCACAAAGGUGAACAAAAUAGGAGAAGGGUCUUUCGGAAGAGCUGUUCUGGUUAGGUCAAAGCAGGAUGGCCAGCAGUAUGUUAUCAAAGAGAUCAGCAUCUCCAAGGUUGGAACGACUAAGCAAGCCGCUUAUCCAACAAAACAAACAAACAGAAAUACCACACAGGAUGUCCAAUAAAGAGAGGGAGGAGUCAAGGACAGAAGUGGCAGUUCUGGCAAACAUGAAACAUCCUAAUUUCGUUCAGUACAAGGAAUCGUUUGAAGAAAGUGGUUGCCUGUACAUAGUCAUGGAUUAUUGUGAAGGAGGAGAUCUCUUCAAACGAAUAAACAAUCAAAAACCUGUUUUGUUUUCUGAAGACCAGAAUAUAUUUUUGACCAAAGACGGGACUAUACAGUUGGGAGAUUUUGGGAUUGCAAGAGUUCUAAAUAGAAGGGCAAGAAAGAAGGAACUAACGCACAUUGCUUUUAUUGGUCGAUCGUUCCCCCAAGACCCGCCUGCCAACCACUCAGAGAGAGCCAGACGACGCAUCCUCCCCCAACCUCUGUGUCAGCGCCAUGAUUGGCAGACGGGUUCUCCAGGGCUUUUGACACCCCCCUGCAGGCACAUGCGUGCGCCCGAUAGCCAGCACAGACCUCACCUGUUACAUGUUAAUAACAUGAAUAUUUCUUUCAAUAAGUAAUCCGUUCUUCUAAAGGCUACAUAUCUUACAAACAAGCACAUAGAUUAGACUCCCCUGUUGAAAUGCAGCAAAAGAAACAUGGGAAAGCAUUAACUUUCUGUUAGCAUUUGUGUUUUAGAGCAUUGACAUCACAGAUCAUUAAUAGAGGAUGUACCAUCAGAGAUCAUCAAAAACACAGGUGCUUAAAAAAAUAAAUAAAAUAAAUAAAUAAAUAAAUGUAUCUUUAUGUGUUUUCCUCAUUGUGUCCUUGGCUGAAAGCAGCUGUGUGUUACACUUCAGUCUUUUUCAUUUCUUUCAGCACUGUAGAAUUGGCUCGCACCUGUAUUGGUACACCAUAUUAUUUAUCACCUGAAAUUUGUGAAAAUAAGCCUUACAACAACAAAAGGUACUAUGUAUUGUAGUUCUGUUUUUUUUACUUUCAAGGGUGUACAGAUAUACUUUAGUACAUAAAAUGAUAUUAAACAAAAUGUAAUAUUGUAUUCAUGAUUAAAGUAAUACCUGUAUAACGUAAUGAGAGGAUACACUGUUUUUCACGUGAUGUUCUUUAAUACAAUCACGUCUCUUCUGUUCUCACUUAUUACAAACAGCACAAUCCUGAAAGACCUUGGACUUCUCUGCUUGUUUAAGUAAUUCUGUGUAAUUGUCAAGCUAACUAAAUAAAAGAUCCUUGCUAUGUAGGAGGAUAUAAUGCUGCUAAUCUCCACGCCAGUCUGUCUAAAGCAAAGAGGGGCUGCAUUUGGCUUGAUUAGAGCACUCAUCUGUAAGACCAACUUCUUUCAGUUAUGUUUAAAGGGGUAACAACCAAGGCUCCAAAAACAUUUUCUUACUUAAAAUGUAUCUUUGUUAUAUUUUAAGCAGAUUUUGUAUUUGAUUUACUCCUGUAGUUGAAUAUGGAAUAAGCUUUAUUUUUUGUGUAUGUAAUUAUGCUUUAAGAUGUAUUACAGUAUGUAACCCAAUUUGUGACCCAGGCUUAUCUGUUCUUUUUUCAUUAGUGAUAUAUGGGCUUUGGGUUGUGUUCUGUAUGAAAUGUGCACAUUAAAGCAUGCACUUAUUGCUCAGGAAUUCAGCCAUACAAUUCUUCAUAACCAGCCUAAAAUGAAUGCAUCGCAGGUAGCACCAGCAAAAAGGCCAGCUCAAGGUCCAGCGUCCACCUCUGUAGCCUCUGUACUGAAAAUAACCAAACCAGCUGCCAAAUACAGAGUGCCUUUAACUGUGAAGAAGACAGGGGAAGCAGCUAAAAAAAACAGCUGAUAGGAAACCCUUAAUAAAACACAAACAGGUGAGAAAACACAAGUUUAGGGUAAAGCAGCAGACAAUAGUACAAGGCAGUUCAGGAUUGGUUAUACAGCACAGCACAGCAGAUCACAUCGCAGCACAUCAUAGCACAGCACAUCACAUCACAGCACAGCACCACA